rnacentral:rRNA from 1 species
CCUACGGGAGGCAGCAGUGAGGAAUAUUGGUCAAUGGGCGGAAGCCUGAACCAGCCAAGUCGCGUGAGGGAAUAAGGCCCUACGGGUCGUAAACCUCUUUUGCCGGGGAGCAAGGGCGGGGACGUGUCCCGGCCCGGAGAGUACCCGGAGAAAAAGCAUCGGCUAACUACGUGCCAGCAGCCGCGGUAAUACGUAGGUGGCGAGCGUUAUCCGGAAUGAUUGGGCGUAAAGGGUGCGUAGGCGGCCUGCUAAGUCUGGAGUGAAAGGUACCGGCUCAACCGGUAUAGGCUCUGGAAACUGGCGGG